rnacentral:lncRNA from 1 species
UAUGUAUAUUGUUCAACACACACCUUUCAAAUUUGCCAAUGGCAUGAGGCACUCCAUAUACAUCCAGACUCACAUCCAAGUACACAUAUAUGACUCACAUACAUCAUACGUAUACAUCAUAUUAGCAACCCAAAAGUGGCUCACAUCAUGCCCAGGUUCACAUACAUUACUAGUCCACACAUACAUCAUAUGUAUACAUCAUAUUAGCAACCCAAAAGUGACUCACAUCAUACCGAGGUUCACAUACUACUCCAAGUCCACACAUACAUCAUAUUAGCAACCCAAAAGUGGCUCACAUCAUACCCAGGUUCACAUACAUUACUCCAAGUCCACACAACAUGACAUGAGCAGCAACAAAAGUGACAUUAAGUGAAAGAAGUUCACAAGCUGAGCCGCCUUUUGCUUCUUGUGCCCAUUGCAGGGCUAGUUGGGUAAGCUUUUUUGCUUCUAGUGCCCAUUGCAGGGCUGUCAAAUGGCACCAUCGGAUUGUUUUGAUCCUUUUUAGCAAGCUCCAUCUUCCUUGUGGCCCUUAAAAUAA